UACGUAGGGCGCAAGCGUUGUCCGGAAUUAUUGGGCGUAAAGAGCUCGUAGGCGGUUUGUCGCGUCUGCCGUGAAAACCCGAGGCUUAACCUCGUGGCUUGCGGUGGAUACGGGCAGACUAGAGGUAGGUAGGGGAGAAUGGAAUUCCCGGUGUAGCGGUGAAAUGCGCAGAUAUCAGGAGGAACACCGGUGGCGAAGGCGGGUCUCUGGGCCGUAACUGACGCUGGGGAGCGAAAGCGUGGGGAGCGAACAGG
rnacentral:rRNA from 1 species